CACCGUAGUUUGUUUACAUGUAUAAGUUCCUCCGACUUUCUCAGACGUGAUUUAUGCCACUUCUUUUUCUGUCUCAUUUUGUCCACCAGACUUAUAACGUUGCGCAUGAAUGCACAAAGGUGGGGAAGACGUCCGGGUAGGAGGGGCGUUCAAAGACCCGGUCCAGUGCUUCCAGCUGCUGCUGCGUGAAGGCGUCGGCCCUCAGGUGCUUGCGUAAACUCUCCACACUACCCUGAGAAUCACUGUUUGGGCCAGAACCAUCUGAACCAUCUACGAGAGGAAAGAGCGACCCCGAUGAUGUUCUCCUCCCGGCGAGGGGGAUGAUGUAUGAUAUGCAAGGCCGCUAUUGAUCGUCUGGUCUGGUGGCAAGUGGGAGCUCCAACGGACUCGAAAAGAACAUCCUGCCUCAACUCAUUGUG